CGAGCUCGUCGGGCGGCCGCGGUCGCAAGAUCGAGGAAAGUCCGGACUCCACAGGGCAUGGUGCUGGGUAACACCCAGGCGGGGUGACCCGACGGAAAGUGCAGCAGAGAGCAGACCGCCGAUGGCCCGCUUGCGGGCACAGGCAAGGGUGAAACGGUGAGGUAAGAGCUCACCAGCGCCCCGGGCGACCGGGGCGGCUUGGCAAACCCCACCAGGAGCAAGGCCAAACAGGGACGUCGGUGGCCCGCCGGUCAAGUCCCGGGUAGGCCGCAUGAGCGCACCGGCAACGGGGCGCCCAGAUGGAUGGUCGUCCAAGACAGAAUCCGGCUUACAGACGGGCUCGUAAA
rnacentral:RNase_P_RNA from 1 species